GGCGGACGGGUGAGUAAUGUCUGGGAAACUGCCUGAUGGAGGGGGAUAACUACUGGAAACGGUAGCUAAUACCGCAUAACGUCGCAAGACCAAAGUGGGGGACCUUCGGGCCUCAUGCCAUCAGAUGUGCCCAGAUGGGAUUAGCUAGUAGGUGGGGUAACGGCUCACCUAGGCGACGAUCCCUAGCUGGUCUGAGAGGAUGACCAGCCACACUGGAACUGAGACACGGUCCAGACUCCUACGGGAGGCAGCAGUGGGGAAUAUUGCACAAUGGGCGCAAGCCUGAUGCAGCCAUGCCGCGUGUGUGAAGAAGGCCUUCGGGUUGUAAAGCACUUUCAGCGGGGAGGAAGGCGAUGAGGUUAAUAACCUUGUCGAUUGACGUUACCCGCAGAAGAAGCACCGGCUAACUCCGUGCCAGCAGCCGCGGUAAUACGGAGGGUGCAAGCGUUAAUCGGAAUUACUGGGCGUAAAGCGCACGCAGGCGGUCUGUCAAGUCGGAUGUGAAAUCCCCGGGCUCAACCUGGGAACUGCAUUCGAAACUGGCAGGCUAGAGUCUUGUAGAGGGGGGUAGAAUUCCAGGUGUAGCGGUGAAAUGCGUAGAGAUCUGGAGGAAUACCGGUGGCGAAGGC
rnacentral:rRNA from 1 species